rnacentral:rRNA from 1 species
CAGUAGCCGCGGUAAUGCGGAGGGGGCUAGCGUUGUUCGGAAUUACUGGGCGUAAAGCGCACGUAGGCGGCUUGGUAAGUUAGAGGUGAAAGCCUGGAGCUCAACUCCAGAAUUGCCUUUAAGACUGCCGAGCUAGCAGGUGAGAGAGGUAAGUGGAAUCCCGAGUGUAGAGGUGAAAUUCGUAGAUAUUCGGGAGAACACCAGUGGCGAAGGCGGCUUACUGGCUCAUACUGGACGCUGAGGUGCGAAAGCGUGGGGAGCAAACAGGAUUAGAUACCCCGGUAGUCCCUGUCUCUUAUAC